GGAAGGAUGGGUGAGCUGGCUGAAACCACACGUUUGCUAAAUGUGCAAAGAUGGAAACGUCUUUCGAGAGUUCGAAUCUCUCUCCUUCCGCCA
rnacentral:tRNA from 1 species